CCUACGGGUGACAGCAGUGAGGAAUAUUGGUCAAUGGGCGGAAGCCUGAACCAGCCAAGUAGCGUGCGGGAUGACUGCCCUAUGGGUUGUAAACUGCUUUUAUAUGGGGAUAACACGCAGCAUGUGUGCUGCUUUGCAUGUACCUUAUGAAUAAGGAUCGGCUAACUCCGUGCCAGCAGCCGCGGUAAUACGGAGGAUCCGAGCGUUAUCCGGAUUUAUUGGGUUUAAAGGGAGCGUAGGCGGGUUGUUAAGUCAGUUGUGAAAGUUUGCGGCUCAACCGGAAAAUUGCAGUUGAAACUGGCAGCCUUGAGUACAGUAGAGGUAGGCGGAAUUCGUGGUGUAGCGGUGAAAUGCUUAGAUAUCACGAAGAACCCCGAUUGCGAAGGCAGCCUGCCGGACUGCAACUGACGCUGAGGCUCGAAAGUGUGGGUAUCAAACAGGAUUAGAUACCCGAGUAGUG
rnacentral:rRNA from 1 species